UACGUAGGGUGCAAGCGUUGUCCGGAAUUAUUGGGCGUAAAGAGCUCGUAGGCGGUCUGUUGCGUCGGCUGUGAAAACCCGGGGCUCAACCCCGGGCCUGCAGCCGAUACGGGCAGACUAGAGUUCGGCAGGGGAGACUGGAAUUCCUGGUGUAGCGGUGAAAUGCGCAGAUAUCAGGAGGAACACCGGUGGCGAAGGCGGGUCUCUGGGCCGAUACUGACGCUGAUGCGCGAAAGCCAGGGGAGCGAACGGG
rnacentral:rRNA from 1 species